rnacentral:rRNA from 1 species
UCCUACGGGGGGCAGCAGUGAGGAAUAUUGGUCAAUGGUCGGGAGACUGAACCAGCCAAGCCGCGUGAGGGAUGAAGGUACAGAGUAUCGUAAACCUCUUUUGUCAGGGAACAAAGGCGGGGACGUGUCCCCGGAUGAGUGUACCUGAAGAAAAAGCAUCGGCUAACUCCGUGCCAGCAGCCGCGGUAAUACGGAGGAUGCGAGCGUUAUCCGGAAUUACUGGGCGUAAAGGGCGCGUAGGUGGGCGCUUAAGUCAGGUGUGAAAACUCCGGGCUCAACCUGGAGACUGCACUUGAAACUGGGUG